rnacentral:rRNA from 1 species
UACGUAGGUGACAAGCGUUAUCCGGAUUUAUUGGGCGUAAAGCGCACGCAGGCGGCUGAUUAAGUCUGACGUGAAAUCUCUCGGCUUAACCGGGAGCGGUCGUUGGAAACUAAUUGGCUUGAGGCGAUGAGAGGGGUGUGGAAUUCCCGGUGUAGUGGUGAAAUGCGUAGAUAUCGGGAGGAACACCAGUGGCGAAGGCGACUACCUGGCUGUUCUUGACGCUGAGGCGCGAAAGCAUGGGGAGCGAACAGG